rnacentral:tRNA from 1 species
UCCCUAGUGGCUCAGACGGUAAAGAAUCUGCCUGCAAUGCGGGAGACCCGGGUUCAAUCCCUGGGUGGGGAA